rnacentral:misc_RNA from 1 species
CUUUAAUGCAAUGAAAAUAUGCAUUAAAGUCUAUUAGGCAAAGAUACACAAGUUUACAUCUGAGACCAAAAAAGAAAGCAAGUUUCUUAACCCAAGCAACCAAGCCUGGUAACAAGCCCAUAGUCCCAUCCAGCCAAACCCUAGACCAAUACCACCCAAACGAAAUUCAGGAUCAACAUCCAAAAAAGCACUGCCAUCGGAAGAAAAAGAGAUCUUCUGCCAAUGCCUCAACUUGCCAAAGCAAGAUAAGCAACAGUAAGAGGAUCACAACUUUAAUCUUGCAAAUAAAAUCCACCGCCUCUGAUAGGUAACACGCGAACACCAACUUAGGAGAAAGAGGAAGCAGGGGCUAUGACAGUUCAGUCUUGAUCUAGUCACGGAGAGCCAGCCAACCAAAUUUUAACACCAAAUUUUCAAUCCACGAGAAGCCAUCCUUGAUUCUUUCUCCUUAAUUGAAAGACAUAGCAAUUGACACAACGGUAUAAACCAGAUCGUCUCUAUUCCAUCCUCACCUGGAAAAGUUCAAGAUAUGAAAAAAAAAAAUAAUAAAAAAAAAAAUAAC